rnacentral:rRNA from 1 species
AGCCCAGACUCCUACGGGAGGCAGCAGUUAGGAAUAUUCGUCAAUGGGGGGAACCCUGAACGAGCAAUGCCGCGUGAAUGAAGAAGGCCCUAUGGGUUGUAAAAUUCUGUUGUAUGGAGAGAAAGAUAGAUAUAGGAAAUGAUAUGUAUUUGACGGUACCAUUCAAGAAAGCCACGGCUAACUACGUGCCAGCAGCCGCGGUAAUACGUAGGUGGCGAGCGUUAUCCGGAAUUAUUGGGCGUAAAGAGUGCGCAGGCGGUUUGAUAAGUCUAAAAUAAAAGCCCGAAGCUUAACUUCGGUUCGUUUUAGAAACUGUCAGACUAGAGUGUGGUAGAGGCAAAUGGAAUUUCUAGUGUAGCGGUAAAAUGCGUAGAUAUUAGAAGGAACACCAGUGGCGAAGGCGAUUUGCUGGGCCACAACUGACGCUCAUGCACGAAAGCGUGGGGAGCAAAUAGGAUUAGAUACCCCCGUA